ensembl:lncRNA
CAGCUCUGCAUUUCAGAAGGGUAUUGUGAACUCAGGAUUCCUCUGUGUGGGCCAUUCCUUGCUUGUUCAAUCAAUGAGAACAAAAAUUCCAUUUUCACAAAAAAAGGACAACGCCCUCUCUGCCAACAGAAACCUCACUUAGCCUCAAAUAUAGGGAUAGCCAGUAUACAAGAUAUGUAGUAUUAGCAUACCAGCUGAGCAGUUACACAUCAGUGAUGCUGUGUGUAGCUGCUGAAAUGAAAAGACAUCGAGCAGCCUGUGAAAAAUGAGAGAGAUACCUGGAUUCUUCUAAUGCAAGCAGCACGUCUGUGUGUAUUUGUUUGCAAUUCUGCCAAUGUUAUGAGAUCAUCAAGGGCAAAUUCAACUAGAUACAGAUCAGUUCAUGGGCAGAAAAAGCAAUUAGUGCUUUAUUAUCAUCCCGUUCAUAUGCAAUUAAAAUGGAGUCGAUUCUCCUUCAGAUAAAGAUGCAUAAAUAAGCAGAGACCAUGAUUUGGGUGCUAAAGUAGAGAAAGGUAUGCAGAAAGUCGCAGAAGAUCACCUGUCAGUUCAGUCACACAGACUGAGAUGCUGCAGGAUGAGGUGGCUGGGACAAGCAGAAUGCAUGGGAAACGGCAAGCCAAGUGGUGAGGUACUGAGGGGCUGAGUGUUGGGGUGCUGUGGAUGUAGUUCUCACUGGAGCCUGGCUGAUGGGAGCAAAGGGAGGAGGAGGAGACUGCCUUCACGGGGUGUGCCUGCCGAAGCGCAGCACACUGCUGCAGCCACCAGCUCGGCAACCAGAUUGUCUGACCGUGGAAAGGACAUCAGCUCCUCAGGAUUUCACUAUAAUGUAGAAAUGCAGAUUCUUGAUGGACUGUUAAUUUUUGUGCCUAAAAAGAAAUGCAUCACUGUCUUAGACACAUGCUUCCAGACGCAUGUUUAUUUGAUAAAGGGGAUUGAUUUUUUUUCACCUCUUCACUUACUUAUGGCCCAGAUCCUGUCAUCUUUGAAGUAAGCAGUUGCUGUAGUAGAGGAUAAAACAUCGCAGCAGCUCUUGAAUUAGGAGAAACUCAUACUGCACUUUUAAUGUCUGUCCACCCACAUGCAGCCAUCUGACUCCUGUCCUUCUAAUGGAAGACUAAUAGUUUCGCUGGUGGAAG